rnacentral:rRNA from 1 species
ACGGGGGGAGCAAGCGUUGUUCGGAUUUACUGGGCGUAAAGCGCGCGUAGGCGGCUUUGUAAGUUAGAGGUGAAAGCCCGGAGCUCAACUCCGGAAUUGCCUUUAAGACUGCAUCGCUAGAAUCAUGGAGAGGUUAGUGGAAUUCCGAGUGUAGAGGUGAAAUUCGUAGAUAUUCGGAAGAACACCAGUGGCGAAGGCGACUAACUGGACAUGUAUUGACGCUGAGGUGCGAAAGCGUGGGGAGCAAACAGGA